rnacentral:lncRNA from 1 species
GUUCAAAUGCCCCUCUUGUUUCCUGCAGGACGUCCUUCCGUCCCAUUCACACACAAGGACAUUUCACCCUCUCACGCCAGCGUGCCGGCCUCCUCUGAGGCUGCGGAGCGCUGAUACAUGUGAGUGAGUAAAACAGAGGACAUCUCGAGGGCACGUAAUACCACGCUGAGCCCGGUGCCAGUGAAAGAGGGGAUUAUUUCACAUGGCCAGCCGGAGAGAUGGGAGCCACACUAAGCUGCUGCGCGUCAUCCCGAGCAGGCCGGGGGCUGAGGAUCCAUCAAAACGGCAAUGAGCAUCUGUGCACACACACGCGGUGCUACGAGAGAGAGAAAGCAACAUUUUUGCUCAGGAGGACUGACUUGGCCAGGGCGUCACUGGCAGGAGAGGAAACAAAGGCCGUCACCACACGGAGCACCUCACAUACACUGGGUUUCCCAUGAGAAAAUCCAGAGAAAACAAACUUCUAUGCACCUAAACAAGGGCAAAUCUUCAAGGAAACUGGUGGAAAAACUCCUGAAAUGGUGGUGUUGGGUUGUCUCAUCUCACCCUGGGUACCGUCACCCUUAAAGCCACACUUGACCUCAGAAGUGACUUAUUCGUGUAUUACUGUAGAAUUCUCACCCAAUAAAACUACAAAUCCCAGGAUGCAGAAGUAAAGGCAAGUGAAAGGAAUAUUCCUUCUCUUUUUAUGUUAGAUGCAAACCUGCCUUUCGUGUGUUGUACUUGGAUAAAGAGAGUUAUAGCUGGAAUUGUCAGCGUUAAACCUUGUAUGUGUAAGAUUAUCUUGUGGCGGACACAUGGGGGGUGUAUCUCGCACCCAGGUGAUGCAUGGGGUGAUGGGCGUGAUUAGCCCUUGAUUUGAGGCACUGUUCGACGCACCAUUUAGUAUUGUCUGCUGGAUGCAGAAUAAAGACGUCCAAACCAUCUGCUCUGUCCGAGUCGUUCCUUGUCCUGCUACGACAGACAUGUCCAAAGUCCGGCCCGGGGGCCAAAUGCGGCCCAGGGUCAGUUUUCAUCCGGCCCGCAGCCUCUGUCAUAAAAUCAAUAAUGUCUGGCCCGCACAUAGAAUUAAUACAUUGGGCAGCAGUACUGUUACCUGCGCGUACUGAAUGCUGCCCUCUAGUGGGUAAAUGAGGAACCGCAAAUGA